UCAAAGGAUACAAUAAACAAAAUACAAAAACAAUAUCAUCUUUGGGUUAAGGUGUUCGAGACAGAAGAAAAACAAACAAAAAUGGUUUCAUGGCUUGAUUUUUUUCAUUCACUGACCUUUGGCUUCUUGCGUUGGAAAACUAGUAACGAAGCUAACGCAAAGCCUCAAGCUGCAUCCAUUGAUUCUCCAUUUACAAUUGUAGAACGAGACCUUCCACGAGGCCACAAUUAUUAAUAUAUCGAAACAUAAGCAACAUAAUGCCCACUUCUCCCUUAGUUGAAUAAUCAGUUAUUACUAUGUUGAUCUUAGGAUUAUGUAAUAUAUAUAUGUUUCUAUGAUCGUUUCAUAUAUAGUUGUACAAUAUAAUUUUUAUAAUUUUUGUAAUUUUCUCU